ensembl:lncRNA
CAUAAAAUAUAAAGUGAGUUUAGCUGUAUUUUCAUUUCUUUUGCAUCUCUAACCGUGGAGCAGUGUGAGCUAAAUGCAAAUCAACCCAUGGGAUGACUUACCCAAAGAAUGAAAAUAAAAAAUAGGAAUUACAAGCUAGGUAAAUAUUGUCUACUACCUUGGAAUGUUUAGAAAUAUUAAAGUAUAUUCUACGAUAUUAUUAAUUCCUGAAGGGAACGAUAUACCUUAGUGCUUAUCUUUUGGGACAUCUCAUAUCAAACUAUUUUUAACUAAUAACUUUAUAUGUUAAUGGCUGGUUUUAGAUUCACAGCUCGUUAGAAGAACUUUAUCUAGUGCCAUGUAAUUAGUAAUUAAUGAAGUGCUAACUAAGUGCCACAAUGUAAGCUAUGCUCUUUCCAAUCCUUAGUUACCAAAACUAAGAUUAAGAAGUAUCUCUUCUGCAGUACUCAGGAAUGUUGUCUGAAAGUUUUUGGCCCAUGCUUUGUUGUUCUUCUUUCCUCACAACCCACUGUGAAGUUUCUUUGAAGGAUCUGAUGAAGAUCUGAAUGGUGUCUUUCAAAAUUUGUGUUGCCAGCCCCCUGUAUCUGCCACUUGGGUACAGAGUACUGGGAGGCUUAUUCUAUCAGACAAGUUAGUCUAUCUCCUGUUUUAGAGAAGAAUCACUUACUGAAAAUUGACCUUUGCUUGCCAUUUCUGAGUUGUCUGUACUUUCUUUGUUAAAAAAUACAUUCUUAUCUUUCUCGAAUCUUCCUUUAUUUCUGUGUUGAACGUCAUUGAGGUUCCAAAUCUAGCAGUUCCAAAGCUGGUGAAGCAUUCUUUCCAUUCACAUUCUUUCCAUUCCCCGUAGACCAACCUGUGGAAGGCUGGCAUUUGGCGCUUUGUUUUCCUGUUAUUUAUCCUGGUACAAGACCAGCACACAGGAGGAGAGACUGUUCUCCUUGUAGGCAGUCUUCAUUUCAUCUGGACUGCUUAGAUAUGCUUAGUACCCUGGUGCAUGUGCUCUCUACCAGGUGCUAUCUGGUGGCAGCUCUGGGUUGCCCACUAUGCCAGCAGGGAUAUUGAAGGAAGCAGUAACGGUACUGAUCCCACGACAGGAUGACAACACGGCCAUUUGCGAUUCAGUGAGGUUAGGUGUUGUUUGUAAAGCGUUCUGACUACGUGGAAGUGCUGGCUAUUAAUUACUGCAAUAACUCACUGGGCUGGAGCCUUGCUGGCGGGGGU